UACGUAGGGUGCAAGCGUUUAAUCGGAAUUACUGGGCGUAAAGCGUGCGCAGGCGGCUAUGCAAGACAGAUGUGAAAUCCCCGGGCUCAACCUGGGAACUGCAUUUGUGACUGCAUGGCUAGAGUACGGUAGAGGGGGAUGGAAUUCCGCGUGUAGCAGUGAAAUGCGUAGAUAUGCGGAGGAACAUCGAUGGCGAAGGCAAUCCCCUGGACCUGUACUGACGCUCAUGCACGAAAGCGUGGGGAGCAAACAGG
rnacentral:rRNA from 1 species